rnacentral:rRNA from 1 species
GCAAGUCGAACGAGAUCUUCGGAUCUAGUGGCGCACGGGUGCGUAACGCGUGGGAAUCUGCCCUUGGGUUCGGAAUAACAGUUGGAAACGACUGCUAAUACCGGAUGAUGACGUAAGUCCAAAGAUUUAUCGCCCAGGGAUGAGCCCGCGUAGGAUUAGCUAGUUGGUGGGGUAAAGGCCUACCAAGGCGACGAUCCUUAGCUGGUCUGAGAGGAUGAUCAGCCACACUGGGACUGAGACACGGCCCAGACUCCUACGGGAGGCAGCAGUAGGGAAUAUUGGACAAUGGGGGCAACCCUGAUCCAGCAAUGCCGCGUGAGUGAUGAAGGCCUUAGGGUUGUAAAGCUCUUUUACCCGAGAUGAUAAUGACAGUAUCGGGAGAAUAAGCUCCGGCUAACUCCGUGCCAGCAGCCGCGGUAAUACGGAGGGAGCUAGCGUUGUUCGGAAUUACUGGGCGUAAAGCGCACGUAGGCGGCGAUUUAAGUCAGAGGUGAAAGCCCGGGGCUCAACCCCGGAACUGCCUUUGAGACUGGAUUGCUAGAAUCUUGGAGAGGCGAGUGGAAUUCCGAGUGUAGAGGUGAAAUUCGUAGAUAUUCGGAAGAACACCAGUGGCGAAGGCGGCUCGCUGGGACAGUAUUGACGCUGAGGUGCGA